GUGGUACGGCCGGGCCCCCAAACCUUGCAGUCUCACUCGCCGGUGAGAUAAUCUGGUGGUUGUGGAGACGGGAUUUGUUGGUGGGUGUUCCUUGAGUGUAUGGAGCAGUCCUUUUGAUGGAGUCUUUAAUUUUGGGCGAAGUUUCUGGAAACCCAUCCUUUCUACCAUCCCAAUUACCCUAAAGCUCGGGUCUCUGAAGCAUUUGAGAAAAAGCACAAAUUCAACAGAUAUUUAUCAAGUGUCUUCUGUGUGAUGUGGCUGAAAAUAGGAAUUUACAGCAUAGCAACAAAGAACGAUACAACAUCUAACUGUACUAUGUGCGAAGUGCUACAAAAACAUAUGGCAAGCUCUGGAAUCAAGAAGUGAGCAGGCCAGAUGAGGUAACUGAGGGGUAAAGCGCUUAAGUCGGCUGCCCAAAACUAGCAGUGGGAGAGUGGUGUAGCCAGGAUUUAAACCCAGGUAGCCCAAAUACAGCAUCUACAAUCUGUCUCAAAUCUAUGACAUCACAGAUGAGCUGGUAUCCACCUUUCCCUGAAGGAGUUGAAGGAGCUUUUAUAGAAUAGGUGAUAUCUGAACUGGACCUUAGAGAGUAAGUAAAAUUCUGCCAGAUAAAGAACAUGCAAAAGCGUUAGUCUAGCUUGAGGUUUGCGUGCAAGGGCAGAGUCGGGAAAGGCCGCUACGUGUUUCCAGGAAUGCCUCAUGGGCAUAAGUUGCUGCGGUGUGGGGGUUGGGUAGAGGGAGAGGUACGAGCUGGGGAUGGGGUGGCUGAAAAAAGAGGUUGGUAGUAGAGGAAUCCAAAUAUAUUUUUGAAAUGGAAUAAGGGUUGUUAUAUUUUUAAUUUUCUUUUUGUUACCAACCAAACAAGCAGCAGUGAUGGAGUGAUGGAGUUUGGUUAUGUGAGUCCUUCAGUUUAGUAGUUAAGAUUUUAUCUUUAAGCAACUGGACGUCAUCAGCGGUCUUAAAGGAGGAGAAUGACGUCAUCAGCAUCUUAUUUUAGAAGGAUCACUCUGGCAGCGGUGUGGAGAAAGGGCUUGGAUUGGGAGUGAUGGGUGUCACCAAGGUUGGUUAGCACGAUUCUGAAAUAUUAGGCAUGAAAAGACAGUGAGGACAGUGGACAGUGAGGACAGAGAGGUGGGCCCACAUUUGACAGGCAUCCCUGAGUUGGGAGCAAAAGGGCUUGAUGAUUAAUUUAAUGCGGGUGGUUGAGGAGGAAGGAAGAAUUGAAGAUGAUUGAGAUUUCUAGUUUAGAAACCUGAGUAAUUGGGGAAUGUCAUUAACUGAAAUAGAAGUGGAAGGAAGGAAAUCUUCCCAUGUGAGGCCUACCAGAAGCUUUACAUACGUUAUUUAAUCUUAAACAAACCCAUAAUGAAAAAAUUAACAUGCCCAUUUUGCAGAUAAGAAAAGUGAGGUUCAGUGAGGUAAAGUAGCUUGCCCAAGGUCACCCAACUAGUAAGGGCUGGGAUGUGAAACAAGGUCUUACUCCAGUGCCCCUAUUCUUCCCAUGAUAAUAGGGGACUUUGUGCUUUGUACCUCUUUGUACCUCUCUACACUCUAAUAAUAAUUUUAGUUUGGAAAAAUAGGACUGAAACUCAAUGGGAAGGGAGACCAUGGAAACAUGGUCCUCCCAGCAAUAGUGCAGUAUGAAGAGAGAUUAAAGGAUUGCCCUAAUGACAUUAAGGACCAGAGCAGCACUGUCCAAUAUAAUUUUCUGCAGUGAUGCAAAUGCUUUUUACUUACAUUAUCCAAUACAGUAGUUAUUAGGUCAGGUGCUACUGAGCACUUGAAAUGUGGCCAGUAUGAAUGAGGAACCGAAGAGUUAAUUCUAAUUGAUUUUAAGUGAUUUCAGAUUAAAUAGGCAUAUGUGGCUAUGACUGCCAUAUUGGAUGGUUUAGGACAAGAUAAACCAGUCAGGCAUAGAGGGUUCAUCAGAGAAGAGGCCUUGCUGGUACCCCUGAAAAGUCACUUGGUAUUUGAUCACCUGC